CAAAGAAUAGUUUAAUAAAAAUAACAAUUUUGGAGAUUGUUGAUAAAGAGCAUCUUUUUCUUUGA
rnacentral:tRNA from 1 species